UCCCCGUUAUCCUGGGUAGUCCCUCUAGAGUCCCCGGCAUUACCCGCUGGCAACUAAGGGCAGGGGUUGCGCUCGUUGCGGCACUUAAGCCAACACCUCACGGCACGAGCUGACGACAGCCAUGCAGCACCUGUGCUGGCCCCUUACGGACACGGGCUUUCACCCGCUUUAACCAGCAUGUCAAGCCCAGGUAAGGUUCUUCGCGUUGCAUCGAAUUGAGCCACAUGCUCCGCCGCUUGUGCGGGUCCCCGUCAAUUCCUUUGAGUUUUAGCCUUGCGGCCGUACUCCCCAGGCGGGACACUUAAUGCGUUAGCUGCGGCACGGGAGGAGUCGACACCUCCCACACCUAGUGUCCAUCGUUUACGGCGUGGACUAC
rnacentral:misc_RNA from 1 species